rnacentral:tRNA from 1 species
GCUAAAGUAGCUUAUAUUUAAAGCAUAACAUUGAAGCUGUUAACAAGGCAAUUUUGUCCUUAAGCA